rnacentral:rRNA from 1 species
GAUGAACGCUGGCGGCGUGCUUAACACAUGCAAGUCGAACGAUGAAGCCCAGCUUGCUGGGUGGAUUAGUGGCGAACGGGUGAGUAACACGUGAGUAACCUGCCCUUAACUCUGGGAUAAGCCUGGGAAACUGGGUCUAAUACCGGAUAGGAGCGUCCACCGCAUGGUGGGUGUUGGAAAGAUUUAUCGGUUUUGGAUGGACUCGCGGCCUAUCAGCUUGUUGGUGAGGUAAUGGCUCACCAAGGCGACGACGGGUAGCCGGCCUGAGAGGGUGACCGGCCACACUGGGACUGAGACACGGCCCAGACUCCUACGGGAGGCAGGAGUGGGGAAUAUGGCACAAUGGGCGCAAGCCUGAUGGAGCGACGCCGCGUGAGGGAUGACGGCCUUCGGGUUGUAAACCUCUUUCAGUAGGGAAGAAGCGAAAGUGACGGUACCUGCAGAAGAAGCACCGGCUAACUACGG